GUACAUUAGUGCUUGCGCACGACAAUAAAUUUCAUUACAUUCGAGUGUGUGUAAAAUCCUCUGCCAGCCGAAGCCAGCAAGAGGCCAAAGGUUCACAGGGGUAUUUGGAUGAAAGUCACCAACGUGCACUUGCUGGAGCCAGCCAGCACUGAAGGCAACGAUUCAAAAUCACUAAUGAUCCUUCCGCAGGUUCACCUACGGAAA
rnacentral:misc_RNA from 1 species